UCAACACACGCGUGUUAGCCGGCGUGUCAAGGGCGUCUGACACGACGGCUGACAAAAAAAAAAAUGAAAGAAGUAAAGGAAAGGAAAGGGGAGAAAAAAAAGGAAAAAUAAAGGGGGGGGGGGAUAGGCCAAGAAAUCAAACUAAGAGUUGUUGCCUAUAGCUUGAAGUUUAGCGUAGCGAAUAGAUUCUAGGGAGCUUUAAAAUCUAUUCGCUACGCUAAACUUCAAGCUAUAGGCAACAACUCUUAGUUUGAUUUCUUGGGGUAUCCCCCCCCCCCUUUAUUUUUCCUUUUUUUUUUCUCCCCUUUCCUUUCCUUUACUUCUUUCUUUUUUUUUUUUUUUUUUUUGUCAGCCGUCGUGUCAGACGCCCUUGACACGCCGGCUAACACGCGUGUG